GAUCUGGUAAGCGACGCUCUGAUUAGUUGGAUGAAAGGUCGUUCUGACCCUUAAUGGGAUGUCCUCAGAUCUUUGUUUAGCAAUAGCGAGAACUAAGAUCAGAUUUUAAUGAGAUUGGAAGCAAUCAGAAUUAUUAGCAUAAACUGAGAGAUAUGCUAGUCUGUAUUUAUAUAGGAAACAGCUCCUCCUGGGGUUUCAAAUAACUGUAAACAUGGACUUAUUGCUCAUAGACAAGUUGAAGGGCUUCUAUGCAGAAAGAUAGACUCCAUUGGAACUUCAGCAGUGUACUCAAGUCAUUGUGAUGGAGGAACGCAGUGUUUACAAGACUGAUGUACUGACAAUGACAUCCAGUAGGACCUCGAGGUCCCAUUGCUGAAAAGGAUAUAUUGGGUUGAAGGAAAUAAUAUUACUUUAUACAAGAAUAUGUUUAUGAUAAACAAUAUACAUGUAUUGUUCUUGAACUUGUUACUUUCGUUACAAUUUCUGAUGACAACUAUGAGAAAUAGAUAUUAAUAAUUAAGUUUUUCUGAUCAACAUGGAUAUGAGGUCUUUGAAAGGCAUUUAUAAGUGAUACACAUAAGGAAGAGAAUUUAUGGAUGUCAACUUCUUUAUUAUGAUAUGAUUAUGACAUCCAUAAAUUAAAUAUUAUUAUCAUAAUAAAGAGGUUGACAUCCAUAAACUCUUCCUUAACAUGGAUAACCACAACACUGCUGUAAUAGUUUAUUAUGUGCAAUAAAACAUGAACGAAUGAUAGUACAUGUACUUGUGUAAGGAUUUGUUCUUCCAGGUGUAAAUUAGUUGUAAACAUCUGUAUCAAUAUACCCUGGAAUAGUUGCCUUAACUUUUGUUGUCAUGGUAACAACAAACAUGGACUUGAUUUUGUAUUAAAGCUUUACAUACACAA